rnacentral:rRNA from 1 species
GGAAGUUCGUACGCGGUGUGCGUAGGUAUGCCGUCGAGCGCGGGAAGCGAGCUGAUCCCUUCGGGGUGACGCUCGUGGAACGAGCGGCGGACGGGUGAGUAACACGUGGGCAACCUGCCUGUAAGAUCGGGAUAACUCCGGGAAACCGGGGCUAAUACCGGGUAAUAC